rnacentral:lncRNA from 10 species
CUAUUCGGCCAUCUUGGCUCUCCCUUAGUAGUUUUGCUCGGUCACUCACGGCAACCUCCGCCUCCUGGGUUCAAGCAGUUCUCCUGCCUCAGUCUCCCGAGUAGCUGGGACUCUACAGGCAUCCCCCAUCAGGGCUUGAAAACAGAAAUCCUGCCAAGUCCCACGUUUUCUUCGGUUCCAAGCACAGAGAGACAUUUGUCUAUUGCAGAAACAGAAGCGAUGCUUAUCCUGCGAGGUGUAUGUGUUAAUGUUGCCACUUUUAGUAAAAUCCAAAUCAUCUAUGCUUCAAGAAGAAUUUGGAAAGCAGAGAG